rnacentral:ribozyme from 1 species
AUGCAAAAAGACAAAGACAAGCACACAAACAGACUAUGUCGUUUCUUCUUCUCUUCUUCUAUCUUCUGUUUUCUUCUUCCUUCCUUUGUCACUUUGUGU